GACGAACGCUGGCGGCGUGCUUAACACAUGCAAGUCGAACGGUAAGGCCCUUCGGGGUACACGAGUGGCGAACGGGUGAGUAACACGUGGGUGAUCUGCCCUGCACUUCGGGAUAAGCCUGGGAAACUGGGUCUAAUACCGGAUAGGACCCUGGGAUGCAUGUCCUGGGGUGGAAAGCUUUUGCGGUGUGGGAUGGGCCCGCGGCCUAUCAGCUUGUUGGUGGGGUGAUGGCCUACCAGGGCGACGACGGGUAGCCGGCCUGAGAGGGUGACCGGCCACACUGGGACUGAGAUACGGCCCAGACUCCUACAGGAGGCAGCAGUGGGGAAUAUUGCACAAUGGGCGCAAGCCUGAUGCAGCGACGCCGCGUGAGGGAUGACGGCCUUCGGGUUGUAAACCUCUUUCAGCACCGACGAAGCGCAAGUGACGGUAGGUGCAGAAGAAGGACCGGCCAACUACGUGCCAGCAGCCGCCGUAA
rnacentral:rRNA from 1 species